rnacentral:rRNA from 1 species
GACGAACGCUGGCGGCGUGCCUAAUACAUGCAAGUCGAGCGCAGGAAGCUGACGGAACUCUUCGGAGGGAAGGCAGUGGAAUGAGCGGCGGACGGGUGAGUAACACGUAAGGAACCUGCCUCAAGGAUUGGGAUAACUCCGAGAAAUCGGAGCUAAUACCGGAUAGUUCAACGGACCGCAUGGUCCGCUGAUGAAAGGCGCUCCGGCGUCACCUUGAGAUGGCCUUGCGGUGCAUUAGCUAGUUGGUGGGGUAACGGCCCACCAAGGCGACGAUGGAUAGCCGACCUGAGAGGGUGAUCGGCCACACUGGGACUGAGACACGGCCCAGACUCCUACGGGAGGCAGCAGUAGGGAAUCUUCCACAAUGGACGAAAGUCUGAUGGAGCAACGCCGCGUGAGUGAUGAAGGUUUUCGGAUCGUAAAACUCUGUCGUAAGGGAAGAACACGUACGAGAGGGAAUGCUCGUACCUUGACGGUACCUUACGAGAAAGCCACGGCAAACUACGUGCCAGCAGCCGCAGUAAAAC